UUUGAAAGCCCUUUUGUAUAUUUUAUAGUUAUUUCUUGGUAAACAAAUAUUAAUAUCUCUUAAGACCACUGAAUAUCUAUCGUUUGUUUUAAUUUUUGGCUACCAAGUGAGUUUAAUGCAAAAUGAAUUCGAAAUCAUUUAUUAACAAAUGUGAAUCAACACCGAAGGAAUCAACUCAGAACGAAGUUUUGGAAAGAGAUGUUCCUUAUACCAUUAAUAACCAAAAAGAGAGCGAAACAACUCCGAAAAAACCUGAAGUAAUAUCAUAUAAUAACCCUCAUCGUCGAACUGCGACCACCUUUGUAAGGUUAAAGAGCAAGCAAAGAAAAGAACUGAAGCAUGCUUUGUCAAGAGGUAUACCCAAAAACUAUGCUUUGGCAUGGAUUCAAAAUGUUUCAAAGGUUCAGCAAAGUCAGAAGCCGAACAGAGAUAAUCAGGAGUCUGCAAAGAUUAUACAGGACUCGACAAAAACGAGUUUAUCCUGAAGAUAGCAUCUAAUUUCCAGCGAGUUAGAAGCUCCUGCGCCAAGAAAUUUAAAUAAAUACAUUUUCAAUAAUCAACAGAA